rnacentral:rRNA from 1 species
AUUGAACGCUGGCGGCAGGCUUAACACAUGCAAGUCGAGCGGGGUGAUGGUGCUUGCACUAUCACUUAGCGGCGGACGGGUGAGUAAUGCUUAGGGAUCUGCCUAUUAGUGGGGGACAACAUCUCGAAAGGGAUGCUAAUACCGCAUACGUCCUACGGGAGAAAGCAGUGGAUCACUUGUGACCUUGCGCUAAUAGAUGAGCCUAAGUCGGAUUAGCUAGUUGGUGGGGUAAAGGCCUACCACGGCGACGAUCUGUAGCGGGUCUGUGAGGAUGAUCCGCCACACUGGGACUGAGCCACGGCCCAGACUCCGACGGGAGGCAGCAGUGGGGAAUAUUGGACAAUGGGGGGAACCCUGAUCCAGCCAUGCCGCGUGUGUGAAGAAGGCCUUAUGGUUGUAAAGCACUUUAAGCGAGGAGGAGGCUCUUUUGGUUAAUACCCAAGAUGAGUGGACGUUACUCGCAGAAUAAGCACCGGCUAACUCUUUGCCAGCCGCCGCCGUAA